UACGGGGGGGGCAAGCGUUGUUCGGAAUUACUGGGCGUAAAGGGUGCGUAGGCGGCUCUCUAAGUUGGAUGUGAAAACUCUGGGCUCAACCCAGAGCCUGCAUCCAAAACUGGAGAGCUAGGGUUCUGGAGGGGAAAGCGGAAUUCCUGGUGUAGCGGUGAAAUGCGUAGAUAUCAGGAGGAACACCGGUGGCGAAGGCGGCUUUCUGGACAGAUACCGACGCUGAGGCACGAAAGCUAGGGGAGCAAACAGG
rnacentral:rRNA from 1 species